rnacentral:rRNA from 1 species
UACGUAGGGGGCGAGCGUUGUCCGGAAUUACUGGGCGUAAAGAGCGUGUAGGCGGCUUGGUAAGUCCGCUGUGAAAGUCCAGGGCUCAACCCUGGAAUGCCGGUGGAAACUGUCAAGCUUGAGUCCGGAAGAGGCGAGUGGAAUUCCUGGUGUAGCGGUGAAAUGCGCAGAUAUCAGGAGGAACACCAACGGCGAAGGCAGCUCGCUGGGACGGUACUGACGCUGAGACGCGAAAGCGUGGGGAGCAAACAGG